rnacentral:rRNA from 1 species
ACGCAAUAGAUACCCUGGUAGUCCACGCCUUAAACGAUGUCUACUAGUUGUCGGGUCUUAAUUGACUUGGUAAACGCAGCUAAACGCGUGAAGUAGACCGCCUGGGGAGUACGGUCGCAAGAUUAAAACUCAAAGGAAUUGACGGGGACCCGCACAAGCGGUGGAUGAUGUGGAUUAAAUUCGAUGCAACGCGAAAAACCUUACCUACCCUUGACAUGGAUGGAAUCCUUGAGAGAUUGAGGAGUGCCCGAAAGGGAACCAUUACACAGGUGCUGCAUGGCUGUCGUCAGCUCGUGUCGUGAGAUGUUGGGUUAAGUCCCGCAACGAGCGCAACCCUUGUCAUUAGUUGCUACGAAAGGGCACUCUAAUGAGACUGCCGGUGACAAACCGGAGGAAGGUGGGGAUGACGUCAAGUCCUCAUGGCCCUUAUGGGUAGGGCUUCACACGUCAUACAAUGGUACAUACAGAGGGCCGCCAACCCGCGAGGGGAGCUAAUCCCAGAAAGUGUAUCGUAGUCCGGAUUGUAGUCUGCAACUCG